GACAGAGUGGCCUAGUAGUUUGUGUGUUGGACGAUGACUCUGGAGACUAGGGUUCGAUUCCCAGCUCGGCCA